rnacentral:rRNA from 1 species
GGUGAACGUUGGCGGCGCGUCUAACACAUGCAAGUCGAACGAGACCUUCGGGUCUAGUGGCGCACGGGUGCGUAACGCGUGGGAAUCUGCCCUUGGGUUCGGAAUAACUCAGAGAAAUUUGAGCUAAUACCGGAUGAUGACGUAAGUCCAAAGAUUUAUCGCCCAAAGGAUGAGCCCGCGUAAGAUUUAGCUUGUUGGUAGGGUAAUGGCCUACCAAGGCGACGAUCUUUAGCUGGUCUGAGAGGAUGAUCAGCCACACUGGGGACUGAGACACGGCCCAGACUCCUACGGGAGGCAGCAGUGGGGAAUAUUGGACAAUGGGCGAAAGCCUGAUCCAGCAAUGCCGCGUGAGUGAUGAAGGCC